AUCCUUAUAGCUUAUUUUACACAUAAUAGUUCAUACUCUUAAUCCUUUGCCCUUAUAUUGCCUGUUUAUCCUUCUCUCUCCCUACAGGUAACCACUAGUUUGUAUUUUAUUUGUUGUUGUUCCUUCACUAAGUCUUGUCCAAUUCAUUGUGGCUUCCCUGUCCUUCACCAUCUCCCAGACUUUGUUCAAAUUCAUGUUCAUUGAGUCGGUGAUGCUAUCUAACCAUCUCAUCCUCUGCCGCCCCCUUCUUCUUUUGCCUUCAAUCUUUCCCAACAUCGGGGUCUUUGCCAAUGGGUCAACUUUUUGCAUCAGUCCUUGCUUUGAACAUUCAGUGUCGAUUUCCUUUAGGAUUGACUGGUUUGAUCUUGCAACCCAAGGGACUCUCAAGAGUCCUCCAGCACUACAAUUCAAAAGCAUCAAUUCUUUGGCAGUCAGCUUUCUUUAUGAUCCAAGUCUCACAUCCGUACAUGAGCCUGUUUCUUUUUUGUUAUAGUCACUAGUUUGUUUUAUUUUGUAGAUACUACAUAUAAGUGGUGUCAUACAGUAUUUCUCUGACUUACUUCACUUAGCAUAAUAUCCUCCAAGUCCAUCCAUGUUGCUGCAAAUGCAAAGUUUCAUUCCUUUUUAUGGCUGAGUAGUGUUCCAAUGUACCACAUCUUCUUUUUAUCCAUUCAUCUGUUGAUGGACACUUGGGUUGCUUCAGUAUUUUGGCAAUUGUAGAUAAUGCUUCGGUGAACACUGGGGUGCAGGUAUUUUUUUCAAGUUUGUCUUUUUGGUUUUUCUUCAAGUAUAUAUGCAGGAGUGGAAUCAUAUUGUAGUUCUAGUCUUAGGUUUUUUUGAGAAAACUCCAUACUGUUUUUCACAGUGGCUGCCUCACUUUAAAUUCCUACCAACAAUGUAUGAGGGUUCUGUUUUCUUCACAUCCUAGCCAACAUUUGUUAUUUUUAUUCUUUUUGAUGAUAGCUGUUUUGACAGAUGUGAGGUGAUAUCUCAUUGAUAGGUUUUGAUUUGCAUUUCUCUGAUGAUUAGCAGUGUUGAGCAUUUUUCAUGUGCCUGCUGACCAUCUGCAUUUCCUCUUUGAAAAAAUUUCUGUUCAGUUAUUCUGCCCAUUUUUUAAUCAGUUUUUUUUAUGUUGACUUGUAUGAGUUGUUUAUAUAUUUUGUAUAUGCACCCUUUGUCAGUCAUAUCAUUUGCAAAUAUUUUCUCCCAUUCAGUAAGUUGCCUUUUUUUGGUCAGUGGUUUCAUCUGUUAUGCAAAAGCUUUUAAGUUUACUUAUGUCCCAUUAGUUUAUUUUUGCUUUUAUUAGGAAACAGAUCCAAAAAAAAAACAUGGCUAUGAAUUGUGUCAGAGUGUUCUGCCUAUAUUUUCCUCAAGGAGUUUUGUGGUUUCUGGUCUUACAUUUAAGUCUUCAAUACAUUUUAAUUUAAGUUUGAAUAGGGUGUGGGAGAAUGUUCUAGUUUCAUUCUUUUAUUAAUACAUGUAGCUGCCCACUUUUCCCAACACCACUUACUGAAGAGAUUGUCUUUUCCCUGUUGUAUAUGCUUUGCUUCCAUUGUCAUGGAUUCAUUGACCGAAGCACGUGGGUUUAUAUCUGUGGUCUCUGUUCUGUUGCACUGAGCUGUCUGUCUGUUUUUGUGCCAGUAUCAUGCUGUUUUAAUUAGCUUUAUAGUGUGGUCUAGAGUAAGGGAGGGUGAUUCCUCCAGCUCUGUUCAUUUCUCUCAAAAUCAUUUUGGUUAUUUGGGGUCUUUUGUGUUUCCAUAUACAUUUUAGAAUUAUUUGUAUUUUUAAAUUUUUUAUUUCAAAUUUUGAUAUUUAU
ensembl:lncRNA